rnacentral:rRNA from 1 species
UACGGAGGGUGCAAACGUUGCUCGGAAUCAUUGGGCGUAAAGCGCACGUAGGCGGGUCAUCAAGUCGGAUGUGAAAUCCCUCGGCUUAACCGAGGACGUGCAUUCGAAACUGAUGGUCUUGAGUACGAAAGAGGAUCGCGGAAUUCCCGGUGUAGAGGUGAAAUUCGUAGAUAUCGGGAGGAACACCAGUGGCGAAGGCGGCGAUCUGGGUCGAUACUGACGCUGAGGUGCGAAAGCGUGGGGAGCAAACAGG